GGCGCACGGGUGAGCAACACGUGGGUAACCUGCCCUUGAGAGUGGGACAACUACGGGAAACUGUAGCUAAUACCGCAUAAGACCACAAGGUGAGAAUCUGGUGGUAAAAUGGAUUUAUUCGCUCAAGGAUGGGCCCGCGGCCUAUCAGGUUGUUGGUGGGGUAAAGGCCUACCAAGCCGAUGACGGGUAGCCGGACUGAGAGGUUGAACGGCCACACUGGAACUGAGACACGGUCCAG
rnacentral:rRNA from 1 species